rnacentral:lncRNA from 1 species
GAGAAAGGAAACAAUUUGAAUAGAAAUUACCCCACCAUUACUACUUUAACUGAAUAAAGCCUGGCAAAUCUAUAAUAUUUUUAGUAUAAAAAGUACAACUCUAAAAAGUGGUUUUCACAACUAUAUUUUAUUUUACGCUGAAAUGUGGCACAAAAUUUUAUAUAUGUAACAGACAAAUCAUAACCUAUGCUCGAUUUAUAUUAUACAAUGAGUACAUUACCAAUAGAUUAAACAGUAAAAAUAGUUUAUGCAGGUUACCUCUGAUAGCCCUUUACAAAUUCAAAGACAGUAUAUAAAUGAAUUGUGCUUUUCAAAGAAAAGAAAGUCUCACUGGAUAAGGGUCUUGAUGAUUAAAAGAUCAUACACAAGUAUAAAUUAGAAAUAGAAUGCAAUUACAUUUGCAAGAUUUGAAAUCAGAUAAAGGUUUAUGCUUAUUAUCAUGCUUUACUGAUCAUGACUACCAUGUAUGUUGCAGUCUUUGAGAAAACAACUUAGUUAUUAAUAUAUUGCUACAACACAAACCUAACAUUACCAAUGAGUUCAAGGUUAGAGGGACAUGUACACUUUACAAUCAUUUCAUACAUCAAUAGUUGACUUUGUUUUUAUUAUAUGAGAAACAGAUCCGAUCAAAAACCCUCCACACUUAUUUAUUCACCAUGACAAUGACAUCCAGAUAAUUAUAUAAGUACCAGCAAAACAUGUUUUAACCUUUCAAUCAUUACAUAUACCAUAUAUAGUUGCCCUAUUGCUUAAAGUAUUUGAAAAACGGACCUAACUGUAAAACAACUUGUUGACCAAUAAAACAUGAAAGUGAAGUAAAGGUGAGAUAACCAUGUCAUACAGAUGUGUACAACUUAAAUAUAUUUCAACCUCCAUCAAUAGUUGACAUACUGCCUAUGGUAUCAGAAAACCAGGCUUAAUCCUAAAAGCUAAAUGUUGACCAUUAACUAUGAAAAUUUAGUCAAGGUCAGAUAAACCCUGCGAGAUUGAAAUGUAUAUAUAUCUUACAAAUAUUUCUUACACCCUAGUCGGCUUGAUGCUUAUUAAUAAUGAAAAACUGACUUAACUCACAAACACCAAAAGCUGACCAUAAACCAUGAAAAUGUUUUCAACGUCUAAUAAACCUUGCUUAUGAAUAUGAUAAGAUCCCUAAAUGUGUAAUGAUUCAACUCAUCAAUGAUACCCAGAAUUGAAAUUUUGUAUUUGCCCAAGACAUCUUCAAAAGACUUAAAUGACAUGUGAUAAAUGAUUGAGUAAUGAAUGACAUAUGAUCUAUAAAUGAGUAAUGAAUGACAUGUGAUCUAUGAAUGAGUAAUGAAUGAAAUGUGAUAUAUGAAUGAGUAAUGAAUGAGUAAUGAAUGAGUAAUGAAUGAUAUGUGAUCUUUGAAUGAGUAAUAAAUGACAUGUGACCUAUGAGUAAUGACUGAAAUGUGAUUUAUGAAUGAGUAGUGAAUGAAAUGUGAAAUAUGAAUGAGUAAUGAAUGACAUGUGAUCUAUGAAUGAGUAAUGAAAGACAUGUGAUAUAUAUAUGAGUAAGGAAUGACAUUUGAAUGUUGAUGAGUAAUGAAUGACAUGUGAUCUAUGGAUGAGAAAUAAAUGACAUGUGAACUGUGAUUUAGUUAUGAAUGACAUGUGAUCUAUGAAUGAGGAAUGAAUGAAAUGUGAUCUCUGGAUGAGAGUAAUGAAUGACAUGUGAUCUUGAGAUAACAUGUGAUCUAUGGAUGAGAAAUAAAUGAAAUGUGAUCUCUGGAUGAGAAAUAAAUGACAUGAAAUCUCUGGAUGAUUAUCAUUGACAUUUGAUCUAUGAAUGAGGGAUGAAUGAUAUGUGAUCUAUGAAUGAGUUUAUUGAUGAAUAGUGUAUGACACAUGAUAUAAGGAUGUGUUAUCAAUGAAAUACGAUCAAUUUGCGUUCUGAAUAACUUGUGGUCUGUGAAUGAGUAAUGAUUGACAUGUGAUCUAUGAAUGAUUCAUUGAUGAAAAGUGAAUGUAACAUGAUAUAAAGAUGAAUUAUUAAUGACAUGUGAUCUAUGAAUGAGUAAUGAAUGACAUGUGAUCUAUGGGUGAAAAUGAAUGAGUAAUGAAUGACAUAAUCUAUUGAUGAGUUCUGAAUGACAUGUGAUCUAUGGGUGAAAAUGAAUGAGUAAUGAAUGACAUAAUCUAUUGAUGAGUUCUGAAUGACAUGUGAUCUAUGGGUGAAAUGAAUGAGUAAUGAAUGACAUUUGAUCUAUGGAUGAAAAAUGAAUGAGUAACAAAUGACAGAUGAUCACUGAAUUAAUGAAUGACAUGUGAUAUAUGAAUGACAUAUGAAUUUGGAUGGGUAACAAAUAAAUCAAAUAAUAAAUAAAAUGAUCAAUGUAUGAGUUCUGAAUGACAUGUGAUCUGUGAAUGACUAAUGAAUGAUCUAAGUGAUCUAUGAAUGAGUCAUGAAUGACACAUGAUUUUAAGAUGAAUUAUUAAUGACAUGUAAUCUAUGAAUGAGUUAUGAAUGACAUGUGGUCCUUGAAUGAGUAAACUGAUGGAUAGAAAAUGACACAUUAUCUAAAAAUAAAUUAUUAAUGACACAUGAUGAAUAAGUUAUGAAAGACAUGUGGUCAAUGAUUGAGUUUAUUGAUGAAUAGUGAAUGGCGCAUGAUCUAAAGAUGAAUUAUUAAUGACACAUGAUCUAUGAAUGAGUAAUGAAUGCCAUGUGAUCUUUGAAUGAGUAAUGAAUGACAUAUAGUCUAUAAAUUAGUAAUGAAUGACAUGUGAUCUAUGAAUGAGUAAUUAAUGCCAUGUGAUCUAUGAAUAAUGGAUGACAUGUGAUCUUUGAAUGAGUAAUGAAUGACAUGUUAUCUAUGAAUGAGAAAUGAAUGACAUGUGAUCUAUGAAUGAGUAAUGAAUGACAUGCGAUCUAUGAAUGAUGUGUGAUCUAUGAAUGAGAAAUGAAUGAAAUGUGAUCUAUGAAUGCGUAAUGAAUGACAUGUGGUCAAUAAAUGACUUUAUUGAUGAAUAGUGAAUGACACAUGAUCUAAAGAUGAAUAAUCAUGACAUGAUCUAUGAAUGAGUAGUGAAUGAAAUGUGAUCUAUGAAUGAACUAGAGGCUCUAAAGAGCCUGUGUCGCUCACCUUGGUCUAUGUGAAUAUUAAACAAAGGAAGCAGAUUGAUUCAUGACAAAAUUGUGUUUUGGUGAUGGUGAUGUGUUUGCACAUCUUACUUUACUGAACAUUCUUGCUGCUUACAAUUAUCUCUAUCUAUAAUGAACUUGGCCCAGUAGUUUCAGUGGAAAAUGUUGGUAAAAAUUUACAAAUUUUAUGAAAAUUGUUAAAAAUUGACUAUAAAGGACAAUAACUCCUUAGAGGGUCAGGUCAAUUGACCAUUUUGGUCAUGUUGACUUAAUUUUCGGUCUUACUUUGCUGCUCAUUAUUGCUGUUUACAGUUUAUCUUAAUCUUUAAAAAUAUUCAAGACAAUAACAAUAAAUGGCAAAAUUUCCUUAAAAUUACCAAUUCAGGGGCAGCAACCCAACAACAGGUUGUCUGAUCCAUCUGAAAAUUUCAGGGCAGAUAGAUCUUGACCUUAUAAACAAUUCAUUCCGGUCAGAUUUGCUAUAAAUGCUUUGGUUUUUGAGUUAUAAGCCAAAAACUGCAUUUUACCCCUAUAUUCUAUUUUUAGCCAUGGCAGCCAUCUUGGUUGAAUGGCCGGGUAACCAGACACAUUUUUUUAACUAGAUACCCCAAAGAUGAUUGUGGCUAAGUUUGGAUUCUUUGGCCUAGUAGUUUUAGAGGAGAAGAUUUUUGUAAAAGAUAACUAAGAUUUACGAAAAAUGGUUAAAAAUUGACUAUAAAGGACAAUAACUCCUUAGGGGGUCAAUUGACCAUUUUGGUCAUGGAGACUUAAUUUUAGGUCUAACUUUGCAGUUUACAGUUUAUCUUAAUCUUUAAAAAUAUUCAAGAUAAUAACCAAAAACAGCAAAAAUUCCUUAAAAUUACCAAUUCAGGGGCAGCAACCCAACAACGGGUUGUCCGAUUCAUCUGAAAAUGUCAGGGCAGAUAGAUCUUGACCUGAUAAACAAUGUCGGAUUUGCCCUAAAUGCUUUGGUUUUUUAGUUAUAAGCCAAAAACUGCAUUUUACCCCUAUGUUCUAUUUUUAGCCAUGGCGGCCAUCUUGGUUGGUUGGCCGGGUCACCAGACAUUUUUUAAACUAGAUACCCCAAUAAUGAUUGUGGCCAAGUUUGGUUUAAUUUGGCCCAGUAGUUUCAGAGAAGAUUUUUGUAAAAGAUUACUAAGAUUUACGAAAAAUGGUUAAAAAUGACUAUUAAGGGCAAUAACUCCCAAAGGGAUCAACUGACUAUUUCGAUCAUGUUGACUUAUUUGUAAAUCUUACUUUGCUGAACAUUAUUGCAGUUUACAGUUUAUCUCUAUCUAUAAUAAUAUUCAAAAUAAUAACCAAAAACAGCAAAAAUUCCAUAAAAUUAUCAUUUCAGGGGCAGCAACCCAACAAUGGGCUGUCCGAUUCAUCUGAAAAUUUCAGGGCAGAUAGAUCUUGACCUGAUAAACAAUUUUACCCCUUUCAGAUUUGCUCUAAAUGCUUUGGUUUUUGAGUUAUAAGCCAAAAACUGCAUUUUACCUCUAUGUUCUAUUUUUAGCCAUGGCGGCCAUCUUGGUUGGUUGGCCGGGUCACCAGACACAUUUUUUAAACUAGAUACCCCAAUAAUGAUUGUGGCCAAGUUUGGUUUAAUUUGGCCCAGUAGUUUCAUAGAAGAUUUUUGUAAAAGUUAACAGAUGACGCCGGACGACGACGACAGACGCAAAGUGAUGAGAAAAGCUCACUUGAGCUAAAAAUGAAUGAAAUGUGAUCAAUCAAUGAGUUAUGAAUGACAUGUGGUCAAUAAAUGACUUUAUUGAUGAAAAGUGAAUGACACAUGAUCUUAAGAUGAACUAUUAAUGACACAUGAUGUAAAGAUGAAUUAUUAAUGACAUGUGAUCUAUGAAUGAGAUACCAAUGACAUCUGAUCUUUGGAUGUCAUAUGAUAUGUUAGAUGGGUAGCUGGCAGGUUUUUUCUUUCCUGUCUUUAUCCACUUUGUGUAGAGAGGGGUUAAGAUGGUAUAUAACACUACAGGGAGAUAACUCUGUAUAAAUCAGCUGGACGUUUUAAUGAUGUUCUACUGAUAAGGAAAUAUUUAGCUUCUUAUUGAUCAAAAUUGGUUUUAGUCAAACUAUAUGCCCAAUGAAAAUUUUACGAUAAAGUGUGUAGUUCAAGUUUUUUGAAAUUUUGAAAUUUUUGUCAAAGGGUGAAAGUAAAUAUUUUGUCAAUAUUUUAUGAAAAUUAAACUAUCCAAAUCAAUCUUAGUGGGUGUUGAUUUGAUCCUUACUUAACCUCCCAAUAUCCAUUUAAAUCUAUUCUGUAGUUUUAGAACAAGGAUGACUACAGCUAAUACUGAAAACCAUUCUGAACUUAGUAUAAAACUUCUUAGAAGUAAGCACUUGCUACAGAAGGAGGUAAACAGUGCAAACUAUACAAUGUAUGAACUUAACUUGUACCAUAAUAAAUAUUAUAUUUCCAGUGCUCCUGUCAAUCAUAUACACAAUAUUAUUUGACAUUUAAAAAUAAUAAAACAGUCUUCCAAAAAAAUCCUUAUUACUUCAUAAUACAAAUAUUCCCACAUAUCUAUCACUGUAAUCAAAUGUACCAGUUUUUAUUUUUUUAAAUUACUUUUUUUAAAUUUCUUUGAUAAAAAAAAGUACAUUUUCUAAGACUAAAUCACCUUGUUGGUAUAUAUUCUAGUUUGGGGGACUAAAUUAAUUAUAACAUCAACCAUAUCAAUAUUUAUUGUAUAGCAAUAUAAUAUUUCCCACAGAAAGUAAACAAAAGUUAGCGUGCAAUAAAUUCUAAUAUUGCACUAGUUCAAUAAAUCUUCAAAAUUCAUGACGUCAUCAACGAAAAAAUCUUAGUUUAAACCAAAUUUUACUUUCAAAUAUUAUAUUGCUAUACAAUAAAAGGGUUAUUGCAUGAAUAUUGGGGAAUAAUGUCCCUCGUAGAACAUAUAUUGCACUCUCAAGCUCGUGCAAUAUAAAAUUCUACUCAGGACAAUAGGCCAACUAAAAU